AUAGUUGCAGUGGCAGUAUCGUAGCCAAUGAGGUUUAUCCGAGGCGCGAUUAUUGCUAAUUGAUAGUUGUAAAUAAAAAUGACAAACUUAUCCUUAAUUGAACAUGUUCCCCAAUCUCAGGAUUUUAGACCUGA